rnacentral:rRNA from 1 species
CCCUUUGAUUUCUAUCGAAUACGUGGGUCCCAGAGGGGUUAGAUACCAAAGUUUUCUAAACUGAGGUGAAAAUGGGAAGGUGUUGAAACGUGUUCUUACCGUUCCGCUGAUGAAAACUUUGCAAUAUCUGACCACCUGUGAGACGUUUGUACGAGGGGCUGAAUGAGAAUUAUUUCUCUAGUUAAUAUCACUUAGCUAUGUCUUCUACUUGCAUGGAAAAUUGGUCACUAAAGGCUGUUUUACCUGCAGCUNNNNNNNNNNAUCUGCGCGUCGGGUAUAGUCCACAGACUAUGUGAAGACAGGCUUCCUAUUUUACGUAGGGAGUUGAAGGUAUAGCCGGUCUCACCUAUAAGUAGGAUGAGAAAAAUGUUGUACACACCGCCCGUCGCUACUACCGAUUGAAUGGCUCAGUGAGGCCUUGGGACUGGCUCAGAGAGGUCGGCAACGACCACUCAGAGCCGGAAACUUGGUCAAACUUGGUCAUUUAGAGGAAGUAAAAGUCGUAACAAGG